CUUUAACGAUACAAAUGCGCUGUCGAAUGAUGAUGUUAAUUUUUCCAUCUCAUGGCAGUUGAUAGUUUGUGCCAUUUCAGUUUGGACAGUUGUGAUUAUAUUCUUUUAUUAAUUUUUCAAUACCAAAAAGUUUGGUCAAAUUAUCCGUUAUACCGUUUGGAUAUCACUGGUACUUUUCUUAAUAUUAUUAAUACGCCUUAGCUUUUUACCCGGUACGGAUGAUGUAUUUAAACGUGAUAUGACACUUGAUUGGGAUGAAGUUAUUGAAUUGACUGUGUUAAUACCGGUUUAUGGUAUAACAGCUUUUGGACCCGGCUGGGGUAUCUUCAUAACAUUAUCAAGUUUUAAUAAAUUCAAAACGAAUAUUAUGAAACAUAGUUGGAUAAUUGCCAUUGGUCAGUUGGGUAUAGUUAUUGGUUUGGAAGUGAUAUUUCAUUACAUACAGGAAUAUUUCUUUGAACAGCCUGUUUAUUAUUAUCCGUCGGAUGAGGAAAAAAUUUGGUUUUUACAUUUAGCAACCGCAAGUGCUAUAUCCCAUUUGGAUUGGCCAAACUUGUGGUCAGUUUUAUUUUAUUUAAUGCUGUUUUUAUCGGGAAUGCUUUUAAUUAUUAUGCAAUUAUAUACAAUAUUGACCUCAAUAUUUGAUGAAUUCGCAAACUUGAGAGAGCAUAGAGUGAAAGUACGCAUAGGUCUAAUAGCCGUCACAGCUUUCAUUUCAUUAUACUUCACCUCUAAUCAUGGUCUAGUACAUUUCGUCACACUCUUGACCGAUGUAUAUGUUUCGCAAACUGUUAUUAAUUUACUACUAAUAUUGGUCGUAUUAUGGGUCUAUGGUCGUGUGCGUUUUCAACGUGAUAUAUAAUUUAUGAUAAAUAAACGUUUUUCCACAUGGAAAAUUUAUGUGCUCAGAUUUGUGGUGUCUUUGGGAAUAUUGCAGGCUUUGUAUUAUGGUGUUAUUUUGGUCAGCCAUUUCCAUUAUUCAACACAUCCUUUAAUGACAGUCUUGGCUGUUAUAUUUAUUAUCAUUCCAUGGCUGUUAAUACCCGUCUAUGGUUUCUAUUGUAUGUGCCAGAAAAAAGAAGGUUCAAGUAAGUCCCCUUUACGGCAUAGUUGCAAACCGCACGAUUGGCAUCCUGUUGAGCAAGAGCAGCGUCAGCGUUAUAAAAACGAUUUUGAAAAUAUUAAUAGUAACCAUCAACUUAAUGAAAUUAACGAUAAUAAUGUAAUGGCAAUUUAAAGUACAAACAAUAUAACAUAUAAUUUGCUAUUUAAGUACAUCUUUGUAAAUACUAAUAUGAGAUUUAAGAAUAUCAGAUUGAUAGUUUUUAUGAGGUCUUAAGUCAAAUACGGAAAGACUCUAAAGUUUUUAAUAAAAUGAUUUAUUUCUAAUUAACAAAUAUCUUAUUCAUAGAAGUGAAAAUUCGGAACCAUCUAAU